rnacentral:lncRNA from 1 species
CCCUUGUAUCUUAGCCAUUCGUCUCGAAUAUCCGUUCAAAGGCCUGACUGGUCUUCCAUCCAUGGUGGCGACGGCUUAGACGGCCACAAAAAAUACACCAUAGUAUCCCCUUUCCAACCUCAUCACAAAUCUAACACCACCUUCCUUCGAAUCAUGGUCCAUCGGCUCAAAUAUUGAUUUGAAGUCCGACUGGAAACCAUCCUAGUUUCUUGACCCAACAAAAAUUGUCCCCUGAGUCACCCUCACCCCCUCACCACAAAACUAAUGCUAUUGGGCCCUCAAAUGGCCUAACAAUCGCUCCAAAUCAAGUUUAGGGUUUCCGGAACCCUUUUUAACAAUGCAUGGAAGAUCCAAUACAUAUCCUGUUGAAAGAAAAGCUAAGUAUUCUAUUGCUUGUACUGUUGAUUAGUUAUUCAUUUUUAUUUUCUUCGAAUUGAUUCUGGUUUAGUUUACGUAUUUCAUCACUUCAUGACAUACUCCUUCGUUCCUUCCCUUCUCCUUUGUUUUUUUGUCUGACGUGCGCAAAUUGAUAGUUGUGUUGUAGUUAAAGGCAUGAAUGCUUAUUUAAUUAGAUUACAAGAUUAAUUAAAAUCAGUAGGCUUCUUCUUGAGCUUUCAAUUUUAUUUUGUCCUUGUCUGUUUCCUAUGAUUGCUUUUUAGUUUAAUUUUGUUCUGAUUUGGUUGAUCCUGCUUAUUCUGAUUGUUAGUUUAAUUUUGGUAUUUGUUUCAUUGAUUUUAAUUUCCCAAUAGUUUCUUAUUUUGUUUCUGGUUUGGCUCUUAUUAGUUAUUUUAAUAGCUGAAUAAGGAUUCAUUGAGUUUGAAUAUAGUCAAUUUAACUAAGGUAAAAGGGGUCAUCUAGUAUAGGUUGGAUAAUUUCAGAUUAGUUAAGGGGUAAUACAAAUAUUGUAAGUUAGGGAAUCUUGCAUUCACUGAUUUAGAAGCCCCUAGAGCAUUCUAGAUGGGGCUCCAAUCAGAAUUUCAUAUUUAAUUGUUAUAACUUGGAGAACAAACUAAGAAUUUAGGGACUGGUUGGGUAAAUAUGGAAAAUAAAAAGAGGACUAAGGGGGUAAACAUAAAGAAAAAAGGAUUGCCCUAAAUCUUUGGAUAUAAAAGGCAUCCUAAUGCCUUCAUUGAAGAAAAAAGUAUGAAAAUCAAAGAAAAAUUCCCUAAAAUUCUCCAAAAAUACUGAAAUUUCCUAAGGUCAAAAUUCAAAAAAACAACAAUUACUGUUCCAUUAGGGUGCUUCUUCAGAAUAGUACUAAUUCUCAGUUAUUAAGUUGGAUUGUUGGUUUAAAUGGGAGUAAAAUGAUUUGAACAUAUGUGUUUGAUGGGUUGAGACUCCACAAGCUUGGUAGGAUUCAAUAUUAAAUAUAUUUGGAGUGCAUUGAAGGCUGUUUUAGUCGAUUUACUGGUGUUGUUAGAUUUAAAUCAUGGCUUGGUUUAUGUGAUAAUUUCUCCUAUUCAAUUAUGGGUUGCGAGUAUGGUUCACUGUUGUAUCGAUUGUUGGUUUGCUAUUGUUAUUGCCU